GGGUCGAUUCCGGAGAGGGAGCUGAGAAGGUACCACAUCCAAGAAGCAGAGGCGCGCAAAUUACCCAAUCCCGAUACGGGGAGGUAGUGACAAUAAAUAACAAUACAGGGGCUUUCUAGUCUUGUAAUUGGAAUGAGUACAAUUUAAAUCCGUUAACGAGGAACAAUUGGAGGGCAAGUCUGGUGCCAGCAGCCGCGGUAAUUCCAGCUCCAAUAGCGUAUUAUUAAAGUUGUUGCAGUUAAAAAGCUCGUAUUGAACUUCAGACCUGGCGGGCGGUCCGCUAACGGUGUGUACUGUCUGGCUGGGCCUU
rnacentral:rRNA from 1 species